rfam:Phlebotomus papatasi Contig12.136, whole genome shotgun sequence.
AAAAAGGUCCUUUUCAGGACCGACCCUUAGUAUCAUUUCAAUGAAU